rnacentral:rRNA from 1 species
UACGGAGGGUGCAAGCGUUAUCCGGAUUCACUGGGUUUAAAGGGUGCGUAGGCGGGUCUGUAAGUCAGUGGUGAAAUCUCCAAGCUUAACUUGGAAACUGCCGUUGAUACUAUAGAUCUUGAAUGUUGUGGAGGUGAGCGGAAUAUGUCAUGUAGCGGUGAAAUGCUUAGAUAUGACAUAGAACACCAAUUGCGAAGGCAGCUCACUACACAAAGAUUGACACUGAGGCACGAAAGCGUGGGGAUCAAACAGG